rnacentral:rRNA from 1 species
ACGGGGUGCAGCAGGCGCGAAAACUCCGCAAUACACGAAAGUGUGACGGGGGGACCCCAAGUGCUCUCGCGCAAGCGAGUGCUUUUGUGAAGUGUAAAUAGCUUCAAGAAUAAGAGCUGGGUAAGACCGGUGCCAGCCGCCGCGGUAACACCGGCAGCUCGAGUGGUGAUCACUAUUAUUGGGCCUAAAGCGUCCGUAGCCGGUUUGAUAAGUCCUUGGGCAAAUCCUACCGCUUAACGGUAGGAAUUCUGGGGAUACUGUCAGACUUGAGGCCGAGAGAGGUCGGAGGUACUUCUAGGGUAGCGGUGAAAUGCUAUAAUCCUAGGGGGACCACCAGUGGCGAAAGCGUCCGACCAGAGCGGGCCUGACGGUAAGGGACGAAAGCCAGGGGAGCGAACGGGAUUAGAUACCCCGGUAGUCCUGGCCGUAAACGCUGUGGGCUAGGUGUUGCAUGCUCUACGAGGGCGUGCAGUGCCGUAGAGAAGUUGAUAAGCCUACCGCCUGGGAAGUACUAUCGCAAGAUAAAAACUUAAAGGAAUUGGCGGGGGAGCACCACAAGGGGUGAAGUCUGCGGUUUAAUUGGAUUCAACGCCGGAAAUCUCACUGGAAGCGACGGCAGAAUGAUAGCCAAGCUGAUGACUUUGCUUGACGAGCCGAGAGGAGGUGCAUGGCCGUCGUCAGCUCGUACCGUAAGGCGUCCUGUUAAGUCAGGCAACGAGCGAGACCCGUACCCUUAUUUGUCAGUUAGUCCCUACGGGGACUGAGACC